GGUUAUCAUGGUACCGAUGCU
rnacentral:miRNA from 1 species